CCUGGUUUUUGCCAUCAGCGAGGUAUAGAGUUCCUACGUUCAUAUUAUAAACUCGUAGGAACUUCAUACCGUGCUCUUGGAAGACCAAAAGACAACGAA
rnacentral:pre_miRNA from 2 species